rnacentral:rRNA from 1 species
AUACGUAGGUGGCAAGCGUUGUCCGGAAUUAUUGGGCGUAAAGCGCGCGCAGGUGGUUCCUUAAGUCUGAUGUGAAAGCCCCCGGCUCAACCGGGGAGGGUCAUUGGAAACUGGGGAACUUGAGUGCAGAAGAGGAUAGUGGAAUUCCAAGUGUAGCGGUAAAUGCGUAGAGAUUUGGAGGAACACCAGUGGCGAAGGCGACUGUCGGGUCUGUAACUGACACUGAGGCGCGAAAGCGGGGGGAGCAAACAGGAUUAGAUACCCUGGUAGUCCACGCCGUAAACGAUGAGUGCUAAGUGUUGGGGGGUUUCCGCCCCUCAGUGCUGCAGCUAACGCAUUAAGCACUCCGCCUGGGGAGUACGGUCGCAAGACUGAAACUCAAAUGAAUUGACGGGG